GGUGGGGACUCCUUAAUUUCUUCUUCUUUCUUCUCUUCUGCACCCAUACCCAUCGGGGACUCAUUUUCUAAGGCUUCAUCUACCAGCGCAUACUUCUCUGCUCGAGCCAACAUCUCUGUGAAGUUAUGAGGGUAGAUCUUCUCUAGUGAGUAUUGGAGACCAUUCUUUAAGAGUCCACCUUUCAGGGCGAUCAUUGUGA
rnacentral:lncRNA from 1 species